UUUGUCCUAUUUCCUAAACUCAUGGAGCCAAUAGGUCCUGAUUUCCACAUACACAAAGGCUAAAAUCCUUCCACAACACAGAAUUUACUUAUCCACCAAACCCUAGUACCCUACGGCAAACUACAUUCUCCACCCUAAACUUUCAUAUUGAAUAGAUAGAUAGGGAGAGCAAAACCUUCCAGAACUUUCUUCUGCAGCUCCCCUAUCUUUAUCACAAAUACCCCGGGGCUCUUUUACUGUCCAUUCAAUUGCAUUUUCCCCUAUCCGAUGGCUUGCUCUGCUUCUUCAACUGCCCUUCUUUCUUCCACCUCUAAAGCUUUCAUUUCUCCCAAAUACAAUUCCCCCAUUUCUCAAUGUGUGUCAGUGCCUUCCUCUUUCAGUGGACUCCGUAAUUGCAAACCUUUUGUUUCUCGUAUAGCCCGUUCCCUCUAUUCUCGCGUUGCUCAAUCCCAACGCCGUCGUUUCGUUGUCCGUGCCUCUGUAAGUUUCUCUUUCACACCUUUCUUUUCUUGCAUUACAACAGAGAGUCUUAACUUUUAACUGUUACUAUUAAUUAAAUUAAAUUAUGAUUGGAUUUGUUUGAUCCUAUUAAACCUUAUUGGUUUAAUAAAUUUAGAUUUCCA
rnacentral:lncRNA from 1 species